CUUGAUGGAGCCGAGCCGGAUCGGCUGGCCUUCCGGCCGGUCCUGUCCGUAGGCGGCGAUGACGGCCUGGGCCUC
rfam:Streptomyces sp. MMG1121 P433contig17.1, whole genome shotgun sequence.